AUGCCUAUCUACUCCUUGGUUCCUAAUAACUUGACAAGGAUGCUUCCUGGCAAUGGGGUUUUGUUCUCCACAUUCAAUUCCUGCUUCCAACAGUUUGUUUGUAUAUCUGACCAAGUGAUUCAAAAACCCUUAGUUUCCUUUUCAGAUCAAAAAUUUGUAAGCAAGGGCCCGGCCAUACCAGCCAUCAGCGCUGGUGCACCGGCCUCUGGUUGGUCUGCACGGCUCGGGAGGCUGCGACUUCCAGGCUUCUCCUGGCCGCAGGGGGCGCUGCAGUCGCGCAGCGGACCAGCUUUUGGCAGCAGUGGAUGCCACAUUGCAGUAGCCGGCCUCUCCCACCUCAGCCCGCCGCCGCUAAAGGAGCAGGCAGACCGCGGAGGAAUGUGCAGCAAGCCUGCAGCGUUAGCUGGACCACGAGAGAAAGCCGAGGGAGAGCGCGGAAGCCGACAUAGCUUCUCUGAACAGACGUAUCCAGCUGGUUGAGGAAGAGUUGGAUCGGGACCAGGGGCCUCUGGCAACAGCUUUGCAAAAGCUUGAGGAGGCCGAGAAAGCAGCAGAUGAGAGUGAGAGAGGAAUUAAGGUCAUUGAAAAUCGAGCCCAGAAGUAUGAAGAAAAAAUGAAAAUUCAGGAGAUCCGACUGAAAGAGGCCAAGCACAUUGCUGAAGAUGCCGACCGGAAGUAUGAAGAGGUGGCCUGCAAGCUCAUCAUCAUUGAGAGUGACCUGGAACGUUCAGAGGAGCGGGCUGAGCUCUCAGAAAGCCAAGUUCAACAUCUGGAAGAA